rnacentral:rRNA from 1 species
GUGGGGAAUUUUGGACAAUGGGCGAAAGCCUGAUCCAGCAAUGCCGCGUGCAGGAUGAAGGCCUUCGGGUUGUAAACUGCUUUUGUACGGAACGAAAAAGCUCCUUCUAAUACAGGGGGCCCAUGACGGUACCGUAAGAAUAAGCACCGGCUAACUACGUGCCAGCAGCCGCGGUAAUACGUAGGGUGCGAGCGUUAAUCGGAAUUACUGGGCGUAAAGCGUGCACAGGCGGUUAUGUAAGACAGAUGUGAAAUCGCCGGGCUCAACCUGGGAACUGCAUUUGUGACUGCAUGGCUAGAGUACGGUAGAGGGGGAUGGAAUUCCGCGUGUAGCAGUGAAAUGCGUAGAUAUGCGGAGGAACACCGAUGGCGAAGGCAAUCCCCUGGACCUGUACUGACGCUCAUGCACGAAAGCGUGGGGAGCAAACAGGAUUAGAUACCCGGGUAGUCC